GAGUGAGUGGCGCACGGCUGAGGAGCACGUGGCUGACCUACCCCGGCGUGGGGGAUAACGGGCCGAAAGGCUCGCUAAUCCCGCAUACGAUCACCUUCACGGGUGAGGAAAGCUUCGGCGCGCUGGGCGGGGGCCGCGUCCCAUUAGAUUGUUGGUGUGGUAAUGGCGCACCAAGUCGAUGAUGGGUUCCGGGUCUGAGAGGACGACCCGGCAGACUGGGACUGAGACACGGCCCAGACUCCUACGGGGGGCAGCAGCAAGGAAUUUUCGGCAAUGGGCGCAAGCCUGACCGAGCAACGCCGCGUGGAGGAUGACGGCUUUCGGGUUGUAAACUCCUUUUAGGUGGGACGAUAAUGACGGUACCACCUGAAUCAGACCCGGCUAACUACGUGCCAGCAGCCGCGGUAAUACGUAGGGGUCGAGCGUUGUCCGGACUUACUGGGCGUAAAGCGUGGGUAGGUGGCUAGUGAUGUGCCGUAUGAAAGCGCCGCGCUUCUCGCGGCGAGGUCGCGGUAGACACACUAGCUAGAGGCACGGAGAGGGGCGUAGAAUUCCCGGUGUAGUGGUGAAAUGCGUAGAUAUCGGGAGGAAUACCAGUGGCGCAAGCGGCGCCCUGGCCGUGACCUGACACUGAGCCACGACGGCGUGGGGAGCAAACGGGAUUAGAUACCCCGGUAGUCCACGCAGUAAACGAUGCAUACCCGGUGUUGGAUUGGCGUCAAGCCCGUUCAGUGCCUGAGCUUACGCGAUGAGUAUGCCGCCUGGGGACUACGAGCGCAAGC
rnacentral:rRNA from 1 species